UACGUAGGGGGCAAGCGUUGUCCGGAUUUAUUGGGCGUAAAGAGCGUGUAGGCGGCCAUACAGGUCAGCUGUGAAAACUCGAGGCUCAACCUCGAGACGUCGGUUGAAACCGUAUGGCUAGAGUCCGGAAGAGGAGAGUGGAAUUCCCGGUGUAGCGGUGAAAUGCGCAGAUAUCGGGGAGGAACACCGGUGGCGAAGGCGGGUCUCUGGGCCGAUACUGACGCUGAGGAGCGAAAGCGUGGGGAGCGAACAGG
rnacentral:rRNA from 1 species